rnacentral:lncRNA from 1 species
CCGAUCCGAAGUAAAAAUCAAGAUCGAUCUGAGGUGAAGAUUAAGGCCAAAUCGAGGUGAAGAUCAAAUAGAUCCAAGGUGAAGAUCAAGGGCAAACCAAGGUGAAGAUCAAAUUGAUAUGAAAUAAAAGUCAAGGUCAAUCCAAGGUGAAGAGCAAGGCUGAACUAAGAUGAAGAUCAAACAGAUUCAAAGUGAAGAUCAAGAUCAAGCCGACAUAAGGAUCGAAUUCAAUCAUCCAAAACUUGACCUCCAAAGGUCGGCCCAUCAAUAGUAAGCUCUUGAAAGCCAAACUCCCAA